rnacentral:hammerhead_ribozyme from 1 species
GCACUGCUGAGGAAUCCUACGAUAGGACGAAACGGCCGUCCAGUGC